CUUUCUUUUAUCCAAAACCCUCACAAAAUUACGUCUCCUUUCCCUUCCCGGGACUGAAAUCAGCACAGAACCCAGAUCUAGGAAGGGAUUGAAAUUCCUCGCUCCUUCCUUUAAUUUUCAACCACCAUCCCCAUCUGAUACGGAUUUGUCUCCAAUUGGAGUUUUCUCGAUUAAAAUUCUAUUUUGUGGUUUCGAAGUAUUGCUUCGCUUUGAAUAACAUUUCAUCUCUGAAGGCUUUGCUCUUCGCGGAAACAGAGGUGAUCGCCAAAGAUGUUGACGAAGUUUGAGACCAAGAGCAAUAGAGUGAAGGGCCUGAGUUUUCACAGCAAGAGACCAUGGAUCCUCGCGAGUCUUCACAGUGGCGUUAUCCAGCUAUGGGACUAUCGUAUGGGCACUCUUAUUGACAGAUUUGAUGAGCACGAUGGACCAGUACGGGGUGUCCAUUUCCAUAAAACUCAGCCGUUGUUUGUCUCUGGAGGGGAUGAUUACAAGAUUAAAGUUUGGAACUACAAGAUGCAUAGGUGUCUGUUUACUCUUUUGGGGCACCUUGAUUAUAUCCGUACAGUGCAGUUUCAUCAUGAAUCCCCAUGGAUUGUGAGUGCCAGUGAUGAUCAGACUAUUCGCAUUUGGAACUGGCAGUCUCGCACCUGCGUAUCAGUCUUGACUGGACACAAUCAUUAUGUAAUGUGUGCAUCUUUCCACCCUAAAGAAGAUCUUGUUGUUUCAGCCUCAUUAGAUCAGACUGUUCGUGUUUGGGAUAUUAGUUCUCUCAAAAAGAAGACUGCCUCUCCUGCGGAUGAUAUACUUAGACUGGGUCAGAUGAACACAGAUCUUUUUGGUGGUAUUGAUGCUGUUGUCAAGUAUGUUUUAGAAGGUCAUGAUAGAGGAGUCAAUUGGGCUGCAUUCCAUCCCACACUUCCUCUCAUUGUCUCAGGAGCUGAUGAUCGGCAGGUUAAACUGUGGAGAAUGAACGAGACUAAGGCUUGGGAAGUGGACACGUUAAGGGGGCACACAAAUAAUGUAUCAUGUGUUAUGUUCCAUGCGAAACAGGACAUAAUUGUAUCCAAUUCUGAGGACAAAAGUAUUCGGGUUUGGGAUGUUACAAAGAGAACGGGAAUUCAAACUUUCCGUAGGGAGCAUGACCGAUUUUGGAUUCUAGCUGCACAUCCUGAAAUGAAUCUGUUGGCAGCUGGUCAUGAUAGUGGUAUGAUUGUCUUUAAGCUGGAGAGAGAGCGACCAGCUUUUUCGGUUAGUGGAGACUCUGUCUUUUAUACUAAAGAUAGAUUUUUGAGGUUCUAUGAAUUCUCAACUCAAAGAGAGUUACAAGUACUUCCUAUUCGACGACCUGGUUCUUUGAGCUUGAAUCAAAGUCCAAAGACGCUUUCUUACAGUCCAACAGAAAAUGCUAUUCUUCUCUGUUCAGAUACAGAUGGGGGAUCUUAUGAGUUGUAUGUCGUACCCAAGGAUAGCAUCGGUAGGGGAGAUGUGCAAGAUGCAAAGAGAGGGAUUGGAGGAUCUGCUGUAUUUGUGGCUCGCAACAGGUUUGCUGUGCUUGACAAAAGUAACAACCAAGUUUUAUUGAAGAACUUGAAGAAUGAGCUUGUAAAGAAGAGUCCCCUCCCCAUAGCCACAGAUGCUAUAUUCUAUGCAGGGACGGGUAACUUGCUAUGUAGGGCAGAGGAUAGGGUUGUUAUAUUUGAUCUCCAGCAGAGGAUUGUUCUUGGUGAUCUUCAAACUCCCUUUGUCAAGUAUGUUGUUUGGUCAAAUGACAUGGAAAGCGUUGCUUUGCUCAGCAAACAUGCCAUUAUCAUUGCAAAUAAGAAGCUUGUGCAUCAGUGCACUCUCCAUGAGACAAUCCGGGUGAAAAGUGGAGGCUGGGAUGAUAAUGGUGUUUUCAUUUACACAACUUUAAAUCACAUCAAGUACUGCCUUCCCAAUGGAGAUAGUGGGAUAAUUAAAACACUAGAUGUCCCAAUUUAUAUCACAAAGGUUUCCGGGAAUACCAUCUUCUGUCUAGAUAGGGAUGGGAAGAACAGAUCUAUAGUUAUCGAUGCUACUGAGUAUUUAUUCAAGCUUUCUUUGCUGAGGAAAAGGUAUGACAAUGUAAUGAACAUGAUAAGAAACUCACAGCUUUGUGGGCAGGCAGUGAUUGCUUAUCUACAACAGAAAGGUUUUCCGGAAGUUGCUCUUCACUUUGUGAAGGAUGAGAGGACUCGGUUCAAUUUGGCUUUAGAGAGUGGGAAUAUUCAAAUAGCAGUUGCAUCAGCUACAGCAAUUGAUGAAAAAGAUCACUGGUACAGGUUGGGAGUAGAGGCUCUUCGCCAAGGCAAUGCUGGUAUAGUGGAAUAUGCGUAUCAGAGGACUAAAAAUUUUGAGAGAUUGUCUUUCCUUUAUCUCAUAACUGGUAAUAUGGAAAAGCUUUCUAAGAUGUUGAAAAUUGCUGAAGUAAAGAAUGAUGUGAUGGGUCAGUUUCACAAUGCCUUAUAUAUGGGUGAUGUCCGUGAACGUGUUAAGAUUUUGGAGAGUGUGGGCCAUUUGCCUCUGGCCUACAUCACUGCUUCAACCCACGGUUUACAUGAUGUUGCUGAACGGCUAGCAGCUGAACUUGGGGAUAAUGUUCCAUCUUUACCUGAGGGAAAAGUACCUACUCUCUUAAUGCCGCCAUCCCCAGUCAUGUGUGGCAGUGAUUGGCCCCUUCUUAGGGUCAUGCGAGGUGUCUUUGAUAAUGGGCUUGACAAUAUUGGUCAGGGUGGUGCUGAUGAGGAGUAUGAAGCUGAUGAGGCUGAUUGGGGCGAGGAGCUUGAUUUAGUUGAUGAAGAUGGCCUACAAAAUGGGGAUGUUGCUGCAACUUUGGACGAUGGUGAAGCAGCUGAAGUUGAUGAAGAAGGGGGAUGGGAGCUUGAAGAUCUUGAACUUCCUCCUGAAGUAGAAACCCCCAAGACCUCUGCAAAUGCUCGUUCUGCAGUUUUUGUGGCUCCAACUCCUGGCAUGCCAGUGAGCCAAAUAUGGAUCCAAAAGUCAUCCCUCGCAGCUGAACAUGCUGCUGCUGGCAAUUUUGACACUGCAAUGCGAUUGCUUAACAGGCAACUUGGCAUUAGAAACUUUGGCCCUUUAAAAUCUCUGUUUCUUGAUCUGCAUUCUGGAAGCUAUUCAUAUCUGCGUGCAUUUUCAUCAACUCCAGUGAUUUCUCUUGCUGUUGAGAGAGGAUGGAGUGAAUCUGCCAGCCCUAAUGUUAGGGGUCCACCAGCUCUCGUGUUCAAUUUCUCUCAAUUGGAAGAGAAACUCAAAGCUGGUUACAAGGCAACAACAGCUGGGAAAUUCACUGAGGCUCUUCGGCUUUUCACUAGCAUUCUUCAUACUAUUCCUGUGGUGGUUGUUGAGUCAAGGAGGGAAGUUGAUGAAGUGAAGGAGUUAGUUAUUAUAGUUAAGGAAUAUGUAUUGGGUCUGCAAAUGGAGCUGAAGAGACGAGAAAUGAAGGAUAAUCCAGUACGCCAGCAAGAACUUGCAGCAUAUUUCACUCACUGCAACCUUCAAACACCUCAUUUAAGGCUUGCCCUACUGAAUGCAAUGAGUGUCUGCUACAAGGCUAAAAACCUUGCCACAGCUGCUAAUUUUGCCAGGAGGCUCCUUGAAACCAAUCCAACCAUUGAAAACCAAGCUAAGACAGCGAGACAAGUACUAGCUGCUGCAGAAAAGAAUAUGACUGAUACUACACAGUUGAACUAUGAUUUCCGAAACCCAUUUGUGAUCUGUGGUGCAACUUACGUGCCAAUCUAUCGAGGACAGAAGGAUGUCUCUUGCCCUUACUGUAGCUCCAGGUUCGUGCCAAGUCAAGAGGGUCAGCUAUGUACUGUUUGUGAUCUUGCAGUCAUAGGUGCAGAUGCGUCUGGCUUACUGUGUUCCCCUUCCCAAGUACGGUGAUCAAACUACUGGCCUAGGACCUGGUUUCAACCUCAGUUUUGGGUCACCUUUUUUAAGGAGUGCGAUUUGUUGGUCCAGCAGUUUUAAGCAGGGGUUUGCAUAUCUAUGAGAGAGUUGGUGUUAAAGUUUGUUUUGAUUCAAAUUGAGGGAGCCAUUUUGUUGGGAUAAGGUUGAGGCAAAAACUAGAGAGCUAAAGAAAGAGUGGUGGGCAACACGCUUAGUUCCAAAGAAGGCAAGCUUGAUAGUAAGGUAUAAGGUUAAGGUUAUCAGAAGACAAAAGCCUACAAAGCGGGGCUUGCGAAUCAAUGUUUCGUAUAUUUUGAGCAGCCAUCUUUUUUUGUUUAGUAAAUUCCAAGGAAAAUUAAGAUUCCUAGAAAAUUAUGUUUAAAACCUUGUACUGAUCGUACGGUGUGAUUAUUUUACUGAGCUGAGUUUCCAAGAAAAAAAUGAAAGAAGCCUUGUACCAAACAGCACUUUAAGAUUUAGCUCCCAUAUCAGCAGCCUCGUUUACCCAAAUUCCUUCAGGAUUUGUCUCUUCUUAAUGAUAGUUAAUUUUAGAA